CCUACGGGAGGCAGCAGUGAGGAAUAUUGGUCAAUGGGCGCGAGCCUGAACCAGCCAAGUCGCGUGAGGGAAGACGGUCCUAUGGAUUGUAAACCUCUUUUGUCGGGGAGCAAAAGACGCCACGCGUGGCGUUCCGAGAGUACCCGAAGAAAAAGCAUCGGCUAACCCCGUGCCAGCAGCCGCGGUAAUACGGAGGAUGCGAGCGUUAUACGGAUGUAUUGGGGUAAAAGGGUGCGCAGGCGGAAGAUCAAGGCAGCGGUAAAAUUGAGAGGCUCAACCUCUUCGAGCCGUUGAAACUGGUUUUCUUGAGUGCGCGAGAAGUAUGCGGAAUGCGUGGUGUAGCGGUGAAAUGCAUAGCUAUCACGCAGAACUCCGAUUGCGAAGGCAGCAUACCGGCGCUCAACUGACGCUCAUGCACGAAAGUGUGGGUAUCGAACAGGAUUAGAUACCCGUGUAGUC
rnacentral:rRNA from 1 species